UACGGGGGGAGCAAGCGUUGUUCGGAUUUACUGGGCGUAAAGGGCGCGUAGGCGGUCAGCACAAGUCAAUUGUGAAAUCUCCGAGCUUAACUCGGAAAGGUCAACUGAAACUGUGCGACUAGAGUGCGGAAGGGGCAACUGGAAUUCUUGGUGUAGCGGUGAAAUGCGUAGAUAUCAAGAGGAACACCUGCGGCGAAGGCGGUUGCUGGGCCGACACUGACGCUGAAGCGCGAAAGCCAGGGGAGCGAACGGG
rnacentral:rRNA from 1 species